UACGUAGGGGGCUAGCGUUGUCCGGAUUUAUUGGGCGUAAAGAGCGUGUAGGCGGCCAGAUAGGUCUGCUGUGAAAACUCGAGGCUCAACCUCGAGAUGUCGGCGGAAACCAUUUGGCUAGAGUCCGGAAGAGGAAAGUGGAAUUCCUGGUGUAGCGGUGAAAUGCGCAGAUAUCAGGAGGAACACCAAUUGCGAAGGCAGCUCGCUGGGACGUUACUGACGCUGAGAACGCGGAAAGCGUGGGGAGUCAAA
rnacentral:rRNA from 1 species